rnacentral:rRNA from 1 species
GUAGGUGGCAAGCGUUGUCCGGAAUUAUUGGGCGUAAAGCGCGCGCAGGCGGUUUUUAAGUCUGAUGUGAAAGCCCACGGCUCAACCGUGGAGGGUCAUUGGAAACUGGAGAACUUGAGUACAGAAGAGGAAAGCGGAAUUCCACGUGUAGCGGUGAAAUGCGUAGAGAUGUGGAGGAACACCAGUGGCGAAGGCGGCUUUCUGGUCUGUAACUGACGCUGAGGCGCGAAAGCGUGGGGAGCAAACAGGAUUAGAUACCCUGGUAGUCCACGCCGUAAACGAUGAGUGCUAAGUGUUAGGGGGUUUCCCGCCCCCUUAGUGCUGCAGCUAACGCAUUAAGCACUCCGCCUGGGGGAGUACGGCCGCAAGGCUG